rnacentral:rRNA from 1 species
CGAAGGGGGCUAGCGUUGUUCGGAAUCACUGGGCGUAAAGCGCACGCAGGCGGAUCGUUAAGUCAGGGGUGAAAUCCCGAGGCUCAACCUCGGAACUGCCUUUGAUACUGGCGAUCUUUGAGUCCGGGAGAGGUGAGUGGAACUCCGAGUGUAGAGGUGAAAUUCGUAGAUAUUCGGAAGAACACCAGUGGCGAAGGCGGCUCACUGGCCCGGUACUGACGCUCAUGUGCGAAAGCGUGGGGAGCAUACAGGAUUAGAUACCCUGGUAGUCCACGCCGUAAACGAUGAAUGCUAGCCGUCGGUGAGCUUGCUCUUCGGUGGCGCAGCUAACGCAAUAAGCAUUCCGCCUGGGGAGUACGGUCGCAAGACUA